rnacentral:rRNA from 1 species
UCCGCCCGCUGGCGGCGUGCUUAACACAUGCAAGUCGAACGCUGAAGCUUGGUGCUUGCACUGGGUGGAUGAGUGGCGAACGGGUGAGUAAUACGUGAGUAACCUGCCCUUGACUCUGGGAUAAGCCUGGGAAACUGGGUCUAAUACUGGAUACGACAUGCCACUGCAUGGUGGUGUGUGGAAAGGGUUUUACUGGUUUUGGAUGGGCUCACGGCCUAUCAGCUUGUUGGUGGGGUAAUGGCCUACCAAGGCGACGACGGGUAGCCGGCCUGAGAGGGUGACCGGCCACACUGGGACUGAGACACGGCCCAGACUCCUACGGGAGGCAGCAGUGGGGAAUAUUGCACAAUGGGCGGAAGCCUGAUGCAGCGACGCCGCGUGAGGGAUGACGGCCUUCGGGUUGUAAACCUCUUUCAGCACGGAAGAAGCGAGAGUGACGGUACGUGCAGAAGAAGCGCCGGCUAACUACGUG